rnacentral:sRNA from 1 species
CCUAAAGUAAUAUUUCCUUGUUUGAAGAUACAAAGUCAAAGACUCAUACGGACUUCGGCUACACCAUCAAAACUUUGUGAGGCAAUAAGAAGCUUCGUUAGUUUUUUGGAGUCAAAUAUGACUAGAUGUUAUGUGUUUGAUUAAGUAUAAGAACUAGAACCACAACUGAUUCCCAAAAGCUAAAGUUGUGUUUCCCUUCUAGAAGAUACAAAGCCAAAAAUUCAUACAGACUUUGGCUACACCAUCAAAGCUUUAAGAAGCAACAAGAAGUUUGGUUAGUGUUUUGGAGUCAAAAAAGACUAUAUGUCAUGUGUAGUAUUGAGUAUAAAAACUAGAACCGCAACUGGUUCCCAAAAGCAAAAGUAGUGUUUCCUUGUUAGAAGAUACAAAGCCAAAGACUCAUACGGACUUCGGCUACACCAUGAAAAUUUUGAGAAGCAAGAAGAAGCUUGGUUAGUGUUUUGGAGUCAAAUAUGACUAGAUGUCAUGUGUAUGAUUGAGUAUAAGAACUAGAAUGGCAACCGAUUCCCAAUAGCUAAAGUUAUGUUUCCUUGUUAGAAGAUACAAAGCCAAAGACUCAUACGGACUUCGUGUACACCAUCAAAAUUUUGAGAAGCAAUAAGAAGCUUGGUUAGUAUUUUAGAGUGAAAUAUUACAGGAUAUCAUGUGUAUCAUUGAGUAUAAGAACUAGAACCGCAACCGAUUCCCAAAAGCUAAAGUAAUGUUUCUUGUUUGUAGAUACAAAGCCAAAGACUCAUACCGACUUCGGCUACACCAUCAAAGCUUUGUGAGGCAAUAAGAAGCUUGGUUAGUUUUUCGGAAUCAAAUAUGGCUAGAUGUCAUGUGUAUGAUUGAGUAUAAGAACUAGAACCGCAACUAAUUCCCAAAAGCUAAAUUAAUGUUUCCUUGUUAGAAGAUACAAAGCUAAAAACUCAUACGGACUUUGGCUAAGCCAUUAAUGUUUUGAGAAGCAAUAAGAAGCUUGGUUAUUUUUUUGGAGUCAAAUAUGACUAGAUGUCAUGUGUAUGAUUGAGUAUAAGAACUAGAACCGCAACCGGUUG